AGAGUUGAUCAUGGCUCAGAACGAACGCUGGCGGCGUGCCUAACACAUGCAAGUCGAGCGAGAAAGUCCCCGCAAGGGGAUGAGUAAAGCGGCGAACGGGUGAGUAACACGUGGGCAACCUGCCCUUCAGUCGGGAAUAACCCAUCGAAAGGUGGGCUAAUACCGGAUAAUGUCCUUUGGGGGCAUCUUCGGAGGACCAAAGGGGGCGAGCGAAAGCGGCUCCCGCUGAGGGAUGGGCCUGCGGCUGAUUAGCUAGUUGGUGGGGUAGCGGCCUACCAAGGCAACGAUCAGUAGCCGACCUGAGAGGGUGACCGGCCACACUGGGACUGAGACACGGCCCAGACUCCUACGGGAGGCAGCAGUGGGGAAUAUUGCGCAAUGGGCGAAAGCCUGACGCAGCGACGCCGCGUGGGUGAUGAAGGCCUUCGGGUCGUAAAACCCUGUCGGGUGGAACGAAUCUCCUCUUCUCCAAUACAGAAGAGGAUUGACGGUACCACCGAAGGAAGCCCCGGCUAACUACGUGCCAGCCGCUGC
rnacentral:rRNA from 1 species